GGGGGGGUGUUGUUCAUAGAGUAAAAAUAAAGCAUUAUUCUGGUAGAACUUUUCACCAGGAUUCCAAAUAUGUUUUCAGUUUUCUUCUAUUCAUUAUUAAGAAAAUCAAAGCUUUUUUGGAACAAAAUAUGAGAAGGUGCUAACCUGUUCCAAGUGUAUGAUAGGAUAUGUUUCAUGGUAAAUAUUUUAACUGUUUUCAUUGAACUGUUAUGAAGAAUUGUGAAUAUGAUGAUAAAUAUAUUAUUGCCUCAGAUAUUAUGGUAAAUAAUAUUAUCAAUUCAAAUGUCAUGGUAAAUCUAUUAUCAACUCAAACAAGAUGUUUAUGGCUGAAUAAGUUGAGAGAGAGAGAGAGAGAGAGAUACGUAAAGAGUAGUUCUUUUAAGGUCAGUGUGACUUGAGGCAUACUAAAAUUAUUAGAAUCUUAUAUAAUAAUUACAGCAGUCAGGCGUGUUAAUCAAUUUUAACACCGUUAAGGAUAAACUCUAAUGUGGUAAUGAUUACAUUUGAAUAUAUGGUAAUGAAGCCUCUGUGACGUGUUAUCAUGACAGUGACUGGAAAUGGUUACAUAUGGUAAUGACGUGAUAGUGAAUGUAUUUCAAUAAAGAACAUAUAGAUGAAUGCCAGGAAGGGCCUGAGAAUGUUACGCAGAGAUCCUAGCUAAGUCCUAGACUAGCUGGGAAUCUAGGUAGAAGAAAGUGUAGAAAAGAAAAUGAAAUAUGGGGAGAGAGAAAGAGAGAAAGCUGACUGAUAGUGUGAACUCCUCAUGGGGUGUUUAAUGAGCAAGAGUUCGUGCUAUCAUGAGGCCUUUUCUGUGGUGAUACUGAACCUUCACCUUUUAUAUCAGUUAUAAAACUGUCAUGUAUGAUUUACUAACAUAAUUGGAAGAAGAGUUUUGUGAAAGGAACUGAAAUGAAAAUGUAUCUAAAUGUAUUGAUAAAACUGUUCCAAAUUAUGACAAACUGUCAUUUGAGAGAUAUAGAUCGUCAAUAGGUCUUUUUAGAUGAUAUGCAUAUUUUUUGUGGUACAGAAAUGUACUGUAAUAUAUUUCUCUGCCCGUUGAUAAGAUAAUGGGUACAGUUUGCCAACCAGAUAUAUUCAUUUUUUAAAAAAUAUUAGAACGACACUUGAAGGUUAUGAUUUUUUUGUAUUUGGAAGAAUGAUACAAAAUACAUUGGCUGAAUAAGAUGAGGUUGUCACUUUAUUAGUUAUUGCAAUAUUACACAUGAUUAUGUAAUAUUUUGACUGAUGGCUGUGUUCACUGUUGCCUUUAAGAAACUUAAUUUUUGGGGGGUGAGGGGUGAGGGAGGGGGCGGUUAAUUCAAAGACGUGAUUCCUUCUCCUUAAUUUGUUAAGUCACAUUAGAAGCAAUAACUUCAAUGCAUUUAACUUUCCAUUGAAGCAAUACCUGCAAUAACUUCAUGGUAUUUGUUCACUGAUUUCAAACACUUCACUAACUUCAUUUUGUUGUUUCUUUGAGGGCAAUAAAUUCAGUAACUUCAUGUUGUUUUUCCAUUGAGGGCCAUAAUUUCAAUUACUUGAUAUAACUUUUUCAUUAACGGUAAUAACCUAAGUAACUUCAUGUUAAUAUUUCAUUGAAGGAAAUAACUUCAGUAAAUUGGUGUUAUUUUUCCACUGAAGGCAAUAACUUCAAUAAAUUGGUGUCAUUUUUACAUUGAAGGCAAUAACUUCAAUACUUUCAUGUUAUUUUUUAUUUUAGUCUUAAAUCAUUGUUACCGUGUAACAAAAAUAACUAUUUUUCUGAACUAAUUAUUGAUUAGCCUCCGUGAGGUUCUGUAAUUCAUACAGAUAUUGCGAUGCAUUCCCGGCAUCUAUAGGUCGUUUUUCUGUUUAUGGUUAUUAAUGAACACUCUCUCGCAUUUUCAUAUUGUCCGUUCAAUCUUCAUCGUUUUUCAACCUUUUCUUUCAUAUUGUAAUUGUCAUAUUGUCUAUUAACUCUCGCUAAUCUUUCCUCUUCAGUUAAUGAAACACUAACCUGUAUUUUUUUAAUCGUCCACCGAUAUUUUGUAACUUCUAAACAAAAGUGCAUUUAACCUACUGUAAUAAAAAGCAUUAUUGAUUU